UUUUAUCAAUUGAGCAAUCGAUUGAUGAUGGAGUUAUCAAGUUGUUGAAGAUCAGGCAGCGGCCAGACAACCGUAGGGAUGGUUUCCACAGAUGAACAGUUUUUCCCAUCUGUUUGUCUACUAAUAUCUAUCUCACAUCA